UAAGCCUGUGAAGGUGGCCUGUGAGGGUUGCUGGAGGUAUCAGAAGUGCGAAUGCUGACAUAAGUAACGAUAAAGCGGGUGAAAAGCCCGCUCGCCGGAAGACCAAGGGUUCCUGUCCAACGUUAAUCGGGGCAGGGUGAGUCGACCCCUAAGGCGAGGCCGAAAGGCGUAGUCGAUGGGAAACGGGUUAAUAUUCCCGUACUUGGUGUUACUGCGAAGGGGGGACGGAGAAGGCUAUGUUGGCCGGGCGACGGUUGUCCCGGUUUAAGCGUGUAGGUGUGUGUUCCAGGUAAAUCCGGUUCACUUUAACACUGAGGCGUGAUGACGAGGCACUACGGUGCUGAAGUAACAAAUGCCCUGCUUCCAGGAAAAGCCUCUAAGCAUCAGGUAACAUCAAAUCGUACCCCAAACCGACACAGGUGGUCAGGUAGAGAAUACCAAGGCGCUUGAGAGAACUCGGGUGAAGGAACUAGGCAAAAUGGUGCCGUAACUUCGGGAGAAGGCACGCUGACAC
rnacentral:rRNA from 3 species